rnacentral:rRNA from 1 species
UCAGGACGAACGCUGGCGGCGUGCUUAACACAUGCAAGUCGAGCGGAGACAAUGGAAGUUUCGGACGGAAGUGUUUCAGCGGCGGACGGGUGAGUAACGCGUGAGCAAUCUGUCCCAGACAGGGGGAUAACAGAUGGAAACAUCUGCUAAUACCGCAUAAGACCACGGCCUGACAUCGGGCCGGGGUAAAAGGAGAAAUCCGGUUUGGGGUGAGCUCGCGUCCGAUUAGCUAGUUGGCGGGUAAAGGCCCACCAAGGCGACGAUCGGUAGCCGACCUGAGAGGGUGAUCGGCCACACUGGAACUGAGAGACGGUCCAGACUCCUACGGGAGGCAGCAGUGGGGAAUAUUGGGCAAUGGGGGGAAACCCUGACCCAGCAACGCCGCGUGAGGGAAGAAGGUUUUCGGAUUGUAAACCUCUGUCCUUGGUGAAGAACACAAUGACGGUAGCCAAGGAGGAAGCCCCGGCUAACUACGUGCCAGCCGCAGC